GGGUGCAUAGCUCAGUGGGAGAGCACUACCUUGACACGGUAGGGGUCGCUGGUUCAAUCCCAGCUGUACCCA
rnacentral:tRNA from 1 species